rnacentral:rRNA from 1 species
AACGAACGCUGGCGGCAGGCUUAACACAUGCAAGUCGAGCGCCCCGCAAGGGGAGCGGCAGACGGGUGAGUAACGCGUAGGAAUCUACCCGGUAGUGGGGGACAACUUGGGGAAACUCAAGCUAAUACCGCAUACGCCCUAAGGGGGAAAGCGGGGGACCUUCGGGCCUCGCGCUAUCGGAUGAGCCUGCGUAGGAUUAGCUAGUUGGUGAGGUAAAGGCUCACCAAGGCGACGAUCCUUAGCUGGUCUGAGAGGAUGAUCAGCCACACUGGGACUGAGACACGGCCCAGACUCCUACGGGAGGCAGCAGUGGGGAAUAUUGCGCAAUGGGGGCAACCCUGACGCAGCCAUGCCGCGUGUGUGAAGAAGGCCUUCGGGUUGUAAAGCACUUUCAAUGGGGAAGAAAAGCGUACUGUUAAUAGCGGUGCGCCGUGACGUUACCCAUAGAAGAAGCACCGGCUAACUCCGUGCCAGCAGCCGCAGUAAAAC